ensembl:lncRNA
GUUCUGUUUGGUCCCUUUUCGUUUUUUGCUUCUGUUUUUGAACGUAGCCGGUUUUGUUUGGUUUUGUCUUUUGUUUUUGAAUGUAGCCUGUCCUUUUUGUUCUGAUUGUAUACACCCGUUUGCUGUUUAGAUUUCCCUAUUUAGUUUGUCCUCUUCUGUUAGCCCUUUAAGAGAUCGUUAUGUUUUUGGUGCCUGUACCUGCCUGGUUUUUCUGCCUCCCCGUUUACCAGUUUGUGCUGGACUCUAGCACAUUCUGAAAUCCUACUUGGUACAUGCAGGAGAAGGGGCCCUGAGAACUGUAUGCACUGCACUUAAGCUGCCAAUGACUUGCCUACAUCAAGGACUAUCUGGAGGAAGAACGUUCACAUCAGUCACCCAAUGGAUCAAGUGCUUCAGAUGACGAUGACCUCUUCAAGCAUGAAGACAACUCAUGGGCAGGAAAGUGUUAAACAGCUAGAAGGGUUCACUCCAAGUACCGUCGGACAGGGGCCAGCUUCAGCAAGGCCCAACAGGAGUUCUCCUCAGGGUUUCUCACCAACCAGACCUUCCAGAGCGCUGCAGCCACCGCCGCCUCGUAGGGUUGAACUUGAUGCAAGAUAUUAAGAGAUGCUAAGUUUUGGUUCAUAUGAUGAAGACACUGGGUGAUGGUUUAGCUCAAUGGGAAUUAAUGUAUACUCUAAUCUUGUCACUACUGUAUAAGAGAACCUUUCAUUCUUAGCUGAUUGUACCUUGUGAGUUGUGGCCCCCAGACUGUGGAAUAAACUGCCCAUUAUUAUCAGGUCACCCCCCCCCCCCCCCACGAGGCAUCGAAGUCUCGCCUCAAAAUGUGUUUUUAUACUUUGGCGUUGGAGUCGGUGUAGGGACAUUCGAGCUCAACAGUUUUGUGUGCUGCUCGUUUCUAUUCAUUGUUUAUUUUUAUUUUUUUUUGCAUAACUUUGGACAGCACUUUGUUCAGCAUUGGUUGUUUUUAAAUGUGCUUUAUAAAUAAAUUGACUUGACUUAUCCCCCUGUAGAUACUCCGGUUGGUCACUUUUAUUACUCGGCUGGGCUUUAAGUUAUGGGGGAUUGAUCCUGUUUCCCUUUAGAACUAUACAUUAGUUCUGUCAUUGUGGGUAGUGUGGUCAUUAUGAUACACCUAAAUGUUCUUUGCUGACACGGUUUACUGUAAUUUUAACCAAAUACUUGAAGACUAGACAUUAUUUCUGAUGUCACUUCAGCCUCACCGUCUGAAUAUGAAUAAUCUUCAGGAUCUUAGUGUUCUGAGUUUUUGCCUACUGGUUUACGUAUUUUAUUUGAACACAAUUUUUUGAGAAUCUGCAGAUGCCCCCAAGACUACCAGUAACAUUUUAACUAACCCAAACCAUUAUCUUAACUUUGACCCUCCCACUAAACCCGGUACCCAGGCAAACCUUAGCAAGCUAUUCCUUAUCAAUAGUUUG